rnacentral:rRNA from 1 species
GUCGUAACAAGGUCUCCGUUAGUGAACCUGCGGAGGGAUCAUUA